AUUUGCCAAGAAAAUAAUAAUUAAUAAAAUAUUUUCUUUUCUCUCUCUCCAACUUUACGCUUUCUCUAAAACUAUCGAUGAAGUGAAGAGAAAGAGCUAAAGGUGAAGAACUAGUAUCACGAAUCAAAGAUCGAUGAACCUAGCUAAUGGCGAAGAACUGAGCUUGAGAUUUCUUUGAUACUGAAGAUUGACGAACCGAGAUGAAGCUGAACAACUGAAGAAAGAUGAACUGAGCUGAAGAUGCAGAGCUAAAUCUAAAGAAAUGAAGAGUGGAAGCUGAAGAACUGAAGAGUUGAGCUGAAGAUUUCUCCAAUAUCAAUUUAGUCAAGCAUUAUUUGAUCUCUAGCAACAUUGAAAUUUCAGAUUGAUGCUGGAAUCUUUGGGAUAUAUAGCCUCAUAAGUCUGCUGCUUCUUCGAUGAAGUAGAAUAUUACUUAAGAGUGUUCAAGCUAUCAUUGGCCCCAACAAGACAUUCUCAGUUCUUCUGACCAUACUUUGAAAAUGUCGCUGAUUGAAUUUCAUGAAUAGAGGUCAGAAGUAAACUCGAUCUAUUGCAACAAAUAUCCAGAUUCUGGUCAAUCCCAUCCACCUAGUCCUGGUCAGGGUGUUUGUUGUCCUCACUAAUGCUCCUUAUAUAUUAAAGUUGGACUGUGAUCACUAUAUUGACAACAACAAAGCCAUAAGGGAAGCUAUGUGUUCAUGAUGGAUCCAACACUUUGGAAGACAGUUUUUUAUCAUCAUCUCCCUCAGAGAUUUGAUGGCAUUGACCGGAAUGAUCGGUAUGCUUGUAGGAAUAGUGUGUUCUUUGAUCUAAGUGCAAACUUGAACAAUCAAUCACUACAUAUUUUCUUAGCAUUUCUAUGUACUUGAGUGAACAGCGUAAUUUAUUUACAUGAAUCAAAUUAACAUGAAAGGAUUCGAUGGUAUUCAAGGACCAAUAUGCUAGUAGAAAUGUGUGUUCAGAGGCCAGGCACUGUAUAGACUUGAUGCACCCAAGAAAAAGAAUGCUCCAUCUAGGAUAUGCAGUUGCUGGUUAAUGUGGUGCCGUUGUCAAAGUUGUUGCUCUGAAAAGAAAAAGGAAAAUAAGACCCUAAAUCUAAAGUCAAGACUCCUUUAAAUGACGAAGACUCCAUGGCAUUGACGGUCUCUCAAGAGGUCACAAAAGAUUGGUUGGAUAUAUGGUUCAGUCAUUGAGGAUAUAUUAACAGGCUUCAAAAUACACUGUCAUGGCUGCAGAUCCAUAUAUUGUAUGCCUGUGUGAUGAGUCUGCUGCUGCUGCAAUGUUUCCUUAGGAGAUUUUGGUAUGUCCAUGCUAUGUUGAACCUGAAUAUGUCAGUAAUUGAAUUUAAAUUGUGGUCAGAAUUAAACUCGACCUUUUGUAGUGAAUGAUGAAGAUUUUUUGUACUAUUGUCAUAUAUGUUUGGAUGCAUUUUGGUUUUGUUGAAUUUUUUGAUAGUAGAAACUUUAAGCAAUCACUUUCUAAGUAUUCGUUGUACACGACAUGUUUCGCGAAGUUUAUUUGAAAUACAUAGCUUCAAUUUAAUAAUUA